rnacentral:rRNA from 1 species
UACAGGGGGUGCAAACGUUGCUCGGAAUUACUGGGCGUAAAGGGCUCGUAGGCGGCCAACUAAGUCGGACGUGAAAUCCCUCGGCUUAACCGGGGAACUGCGUCCGAUACUGGAUGGCUUGAGUUCGGGAGAGGGAUGCGGAAUUCCAGGUGUAGCGGUGAAAUGCGUAGAUAUCUGGAGGAACACCGGUGGCGAAGGCGGCAUCCUGGACCGACACUGACGCUGAGGAGCGAAAGCCAGGGGAGCAAAGCGGGG